rnacentral:rRNA from 1 species
AGAUUGAACGCUGGCGGCAGGCCUAACACAUGCAAGUCGAGCGGUAGAGAGGUGCUUGCACCUCUUGAGAGCGGCGGACGGGUGAGUAAUGCCUAGGAAUCUGCCUAGUGGGUGGGGGAUAACGUUCGGAAACGGACGCUAAUACCGCAUACGUCCUACGGGAGAAAGCGGGGGACCUUCGGGCCUCGCGCCAUUAGAUGAGCCUAGGUCGAUUAGCUAGUUGGUGAGGUAAUGGCUCACCAAGGCCGACGAUCCGUAACUGAUCGUGAGAGGUAUGAUCACGCCAACACGUGGGACUGAGACACCGGCCCAGGACCUCCGUACGGGAGCAGCGAGGUGGGAAUUGUGACAGUGGGAC